rnacentral:lncRNA from 1 species
CACGAACAUGACUCACUGCAGCCUUGACCUCCUGGGCUCAAGCAAUCCUCCAGUCUCAGCCCCUCAGGUUGCUAGGACUACAGGCGCAAGCCACCACACCCAGGUUGCAUAUGUCACCUGCACUGUGGUCCAGGAGUCUCAAGUCACCAUCCCCACCAUGGUCAGUCGCCUGGUGACCCCAGGCAGAAACUGAUCAUCAGGGGAUCUUGGAGGUAGGAAAAUUAUUAAAGAAAUCCAAGAGCAGGACUGGAACAAGAAAGUGUGGAGGUGGGAGAGAGGACAACUGGAGACCCAGGAGGGCCUCUGAGACCAGGGAGAGAAUGCGGGGAUGGCAGGGACAGAAUCUUCAUCCACUGAGAUUGGUGGAAGCCCCGUCUGUGCCCUGUCCGUGUUGGGGUCCCCCUCUCAGAUGGUUUCUUCUGCACCACCAGUCACCCCUACCCUGUCUGCUGACCCAUGGCAGAAACAGCAGAUGUGACUGGGGGGCACUGAGGCAGGUGGGGACCAAGGGACCAGGGACAGCAGGCGCCACCCUGAGCAGGAUCAAGGAGAGCUGGAAAAGGAGGUGGGAGUCGUUGUUAGAGGAGGGUGUGAAGUAGUCGGGACGAAAGAGGCCAGGAGGAGCCCCAGGACCUGAGGCCCUCCCUCUGCACACAGCCUUUCUCUGUUGGGCUCAGGCCCUGGCAACAGCCCAUUAUUUACUUCCCCCAACCCUGGCUCAUGCUCAGCCAAUCCCUGCUCCACUGAAGUUCUCUUGCCCAGUGUUCCUGGCAGUAAAUUGUAAGGAGGAGUAGUGCUCACCGAAGGGCAUAGGGCCUGCCAUGGGUCUUUGUACAUAGAACUUAAUAGCAGCCCUCAGUGUAUUAGUGAAGUGGUUUCUCUUAUCAUUUUGAGGCAAGAAAAGAGGUAUAAAGAAGCUGGUUGAACUUGCCCAAGAUCACACAGCCAGCCUGUGGCCCAGCUGACUUUUGAGCUCAGGCACAUGACUUGGCAUUUUCUGACACAUUCUGGUUCCUCUGACUUCUUCCCAUCUGAGGCUCCCUGCCCUGCAUUCAGAUGCCCCCUCUGACUUGAUGUUCAGGAGCACAGACUUCCAGCAGUGAGAGCCAAGGAAAUGGAACCAGCCAGAUGGGGAAGGACUGAGUGUAAAUCCCAGGCUUGUCUCCAAGUCCAGGCCUUUUCUGGCAGAUAUCAGCAGCAAGACCAAGGUAGCCACAGAGGCGAGCUCUGCUGGGUGGGAACUCCCUGAAUAUUUAAGUGUGCAUGUGAUUCUUCCAGGGGUCUGCCAGAUCCUGUGCUGUUCCAGGUAGGAGGCACUGGGCAUCUGGGCACUCAAAACCUACCACUGUAAAGAAGACUGAACCAGUAAGGCCACACGCCGGGCACGGGGCCCCAUUUUCAGAGGAUGGAGCCAGGCCUGUCGGGGCUGCUCAUGUGUCCACCUCCUUCAGGCUCCCUCAUUAUCCAAACGGCAUUUCCACACAUGGGAAUUUGCAAAAGGAGAGAGUGAAAGGCCCAGGGCAUUUCUGUGGUCUGUACUAACCCUC